AAGACUUUAAGUUAAACAAACUAAAAACCUUCAAAGUUUUCAUUGGGAGUAUCCAAGUCUUG
rnacentral:tRNA from 1 species